ACGAAGCCUUCAGCUUCCAGGGAGAAGAGAAACGAGAAAUAUCCCGUAACCCUUACUUUUAAUUUCCAACUCCCAUAACUUCUCCGUUCGAGCUCCGAUCGCUGCACUGUUUGCGGCCACGCAUUCACCGCGUCGAGCUUUACAUUUCUACCAGAACAAUUUCAUAGGAUCCAAUUAGCUUGAGGGAAACAUUCACUCUUGCUUAUGUGAAGCUUGGGUAAGGUUGUGAAUAAAUAAUUGGAGCUUGAAAUUGUGAAUACUGAAACUUGGAGGAAGCGGAUUAGUUGAGUUUUGAGGGGCUGCCUUGAUUUUAAAUAAUUUGCUUUGGUCGUUACGUGGAAAUCGGCCAAGGUAAUUUCUGGCUGAAAUUGAGGGACUUGAGCAAAACUCUGAAAAAGGCUGACAAAAGGACUGCUGAUGCUGUUGGAAUCUGACCUCCCUGCACUCAAAAUGGAUUUUCUGGAGCUACAGAACUCCAAUUAGCGCGCUCUCAACGGCGUUGGAAAUUAGACAUCCAGGGCUUUCCAGCAAUAUAUAAUAGUCCAUACUUUAUUCGGAAAUUGACAACGUAACUUGGCGUUGAACGCCAAGUACAUGCUGCUGUCUGGAGUUAAACGCCAGAAAAACGUCAUGAUCCGGAGUUGAAUGCCCAAAACACGUCAUAACUCAGAGUUCAACUCCAAGAGAAGCCUCAGCUCGUGGAUAGAUCAAGCUCAGCCCAAACAUACACCAAGUGGGCCCCGGAAGUGGAUUUAUGCAUCAAUUACUUACUCAUGUAAACCCUAGGAGCUAGUUUAUUAUAAAUAGAACAUUUAACUAAUGUAUUUGAUAUCUCUUGACCAUUCGGUCUUUUGAUCACU